CACUGAGAUCCAGGGUAUCGAGUACAGCAAAUCUGUGUGUGUAUUGGAAUAGGAGAUUUACCACCAGAACUGAGGAAAUAGGACAGAUGGAAAAGCAAGGGGAAGGAAGUGUUUUUGAAGCGCCAUCAAGAGAAGGAAGAGUUCAGAUUCUGCUGCAGAGCCCAGCUGUGAACGAGUCAGGAGCUCCCACCUCUACCCGAAAACCGGAGGAGAGGGAAGUAGGCUAGAACCCAACACAGUGCUUCCGGAAAGCACUUCAGAAGGCAAAGGAGCAAGCUGAGCUUCCUAGGGAUCGGAAGAGCCAAAGGCCGAAAAGGGAAG